GACGAACGCUGGCGGCGUGCUUAACACAUGCAAGUCGAACGGAAAGGCCCUGCUUUUGUGGGGUGCUCGAGUGGCGAACGGGUGAGUAACACGUGAGUAACCUGCCCUUGACUUUGGGAUAACUUCAGGAAACUGGGGCUAAUACCGGAUAGGAGCUCCUGCUGCUUGGUGGGGGUUGGAAAGUUUCGGCGGGUGGGGAUGGACUCGCGGCCUAUCAGCCUGUUGGUGGGGUAGUGGCUUACCAAGGCUUUGACGGGUAGCCGGCCUGAGAGGGUGACCGGCCACAGUGGGACUGAGAUACGGCCCAGACUCCUACGGGAGGCAGCAGUGGGGAAUAGUGCACGAUGGGCGGAAGCCUGAUGCAGCAACGCCGCGUGCGGGAUGACGGCCGUCGGGUUGUAAACCGCGUUCGCCUGUGACGAAGCGUGAGUGACGGUAAUGGGUAAAGAAGCACCGGCUAACUACGUG
rnacentral:rRNA from 1 species